UGUGGAUCGACGGGCUCCUUCACUUCGCAGUUGGCGUCGCCGUUCUCCUGGAUGGCCUCCACAGCUGACAGAGAACCAAGACCACAAAUUCAAUUGAAGCUCUUUCAUCAGAAGUUUACGGCCGCAUCGGGUGGCAAAAUGGAUCGAACCGACAACCUCAAAUCACCCAAUACGAAUCCGAUAAAUCGACAUACCAAGCCCUUGAUGAGGUCCUCCAGCUCCUUCUGCGCGUCGCGAACGGCCUCCUCUGUGCCGAUGACCGUGAUGAGCUCCUGGUCUUUGUCCUCGGCAGUGGGGAAGAUGAUCCUCGCACCGGUGCUGUCACGCACCUUGCGGAUGUUGCCGCCGCCUUUGCCGAUGAGGAACUUGUGG